UACGUAGGGGGCAAGCGUUGUCCGGAUUUAUUGGGCGUAAAGAGCGUGUAGGCGGCCAGGUAGGUCCGUUGUGAAAACUCGAGGCUUAACCUCGAGACGUCGAUGGAAACCAUCUGGCUAGAGUCCGGAAGAGGAGAGUGGAAUUCCUGGUGUAGCGGUGAAAUGCGCAGAUAUCAGGAAGAACACCGAUGGCGAAGGCAGGUCUCUGGGCCACUACUGACGCUGAGAAGCGAAAGCAUGGGGAGCGAACAGG
rnacentral:rRNA from 1 species